rnacentral:rRNA from 1 species
UGUCCGGAUUUACUGGGUGUAAAGGGUGCGUAGGCGGCUUUGCAAGUCAGAUGUGAAAUCUAUGGGCUCAACCCAUAAACUGCAUUUGAAACUGUAGAGCUUGAGUGAAGUAGAGGCAGGCGGAAUUCCCCGUGUAGCGGUGAAAUGCGUAGAGAUGGGGAGGAACACCAGUGGCGAAGGCGGCCUGCUGGGCUUUAACUGACGCUGAGGCACGAAAGCGUGGGUAGCAAACAGGAUUAGAUACCCUGGUAGUCCACGCUGUAAACGAUGAUUACUAGGUGUGGGGGGUCUGACCCCUUCCGUGCCGGAGUUAACACAAUAAGUAAUCCACCUGGGGAGUACGGCCGCAAGGUUGAAACUC